GACGAACGCUGGCGGCGUGCUUAACACAUGCAAGUCGAACGGUGAAGCUCCAGCUUGCUGGAGUGGAUCAGUGGCGAACGGGUGAGUAACACGUGAGCAACCUGCCCCUGACUCUGGAAUAAGCGCUGGAAACGGCGUCUAAUACUGGAUACGAGAAGGGUCCACAUGGGCACUUUCUGGAAAGUUUUUCGGUUGGGGAUGGGCUCGCGGCCUAUCAGCUUGUUGGUGAGGUAAUGGCUCACCAAGGCGACGACGGGUAGCCGGCCUGAGAGGGCGACCGGCCACACUGGGACUGAGACACGGCCCAGACUCCUACGGGAGGCAGCAGUGGGGAAUAUUGCACAAUGGGCGAAAGCCUGAUGCAGCGACGCCGCGUGAGGGAUGACGGCCUUCGGGUUGUAAACCUCUUUCAGCAGGGAAGAAGCGAAAGUGACGGUACCUGCAGAAGAAGCACCGGCUAACUACGUG
rnacentral:rRNA from 1 species